rnacentral:rRNA from 1 species
GAUGAACGCUGGCGGCGUGCCUAAUACAUGCAAGUCGAGCGAACAGACGAGGAGCUUGCUCCUCUGACGUUAGCGGCGGACGGGUGAGUAACACGUGGAUAACCUACCUAUAAGACUGGGAUAACUUCGGGAAACCGGAGCUAAUACCGGAUAAUAUAUUGAACCGCAUGGUUCAAUAGUAAAAUACGGUUUUGCUGUCACUUAUAGAUGGAUCCGCGCCGCAUUAGCUAGUUGGUAAGGUAACGGCUUACCAAGGCAACGAUGCGUAUCCGACCUGAGAGGGUGAUAGGCCACACUGGAACUUAGACACGGACCAGACUCCUACGGGAGGCAGCAGUAGGGAAUCUUACGCAAUGGGCGAAAGCCUUACGCAGCAACGCCGCGUGAGUGAUGAAGGUCUUCGGAUCGUAAAACUCUGUUAUUAGGGAAGAACAAAUGUGUAAGUAACUAUGCACGUCUUGACGGUACCUAAUAAGAAAGCCACGGCUAACUACGUG